rnacentral:tRNA from 1 species
GAGGGUGUAGCUCAGUGGUAGGGUGUGUGCUUAGCAUGCACGAGGUCCUGGGUUCAAUCCCCAGGACCUCCA